CCUACGGGAGGCAGCAGUGAGGAAUAUUGCGCAAUGGGGGAAACCCUGACGCAGCAACGCCGCGUGGGUGAAGAAGGCCUUCGGGUCGUAAAGCCCUUUCGGACGGGACGAACGCUCCGCGGUGACAACCCGCGGAGUCUGACGGUACCGUAAGAAGAAGCACCGGCUAACUCCGUGCCAGCAGCCGCGGUAAUACGGAGGGUGCAAGCGUUGUUCGGAAUUACUGGGCGUAAAGCGCGUGUAGGCGGCCUUGCAAGCCAGACGUGAAAGCCCUCGGCUUAACCGGGGAAGUGCGUCUGGAACUGCUCGGCUCGAGUACGGGAGAGGGAGGCGGAAUUCCCAGUGUAGAGGUGAAAUUCGUAGAUAUUGGGAGGAACACCGGUGGCGAAAGCGGCCUCCUGGACCGAUACUGACGCUGAGACGCGAAAGCGUGGGGAGCAAACAGGAUUAGAUACCCUGGUAGUCCGCGCGGUAAACGAUGGGCACUAGGUGUGGGGGGUAUCCACUCCUCCCGUGCCGCAGCUAACGCACUAAGUGCCCCGCCUGGGGAGUACGGCCGCAAGGUUAAAACUCAAAGGAAUUGACGG
rnacentral:rRNA from 1 species